CGACAGAGGGAGUAGAAGAGGAAGACCCUGAAGGCACCACAACGUGUCACCUUAUCAGCCACCAACACUCAGGCCUCCAUAAAGACCCCUGCCUCGGUGCAUCAUCCUGAUCUCCAAUGGCCUUCCUCAUGCAGCCGAAGGUAAUCAUGUGUUUGAUCAUAUCGCCAUCAACAUGCGGACUCUGAUAUGAAAUUGACACACAUUGGGGGGGAAUAUAUCCAGGCAUAAGGAUGAAGCUACAAGAAGAAGACGAGCACAGAGCUGUUUUGAGGUGCAUGGAGGCCAUUUUUCUCUGGGGUCAUUCUCAGGGUAUGUGUUUCAAAUAUUAGGGCGUGUGACAAAUUGCCACCAAUCUAUUGCUUCUGGGAAAACAACAAUGACGAUUCGCUGUGGAAAUCUUUUGGGGAUGCAGGUUAUAUUUAGCUACCUCCAGACAUGGGUUGUUAUGAGUGUUUUAGGCCUUUAGGUUCUCAGGUAUCAAGGUCAUUGACAUUCAAAGACUGAUCCACAGAGGCAACUCAGCUUGGUUGUAAACUAGCAGAUGUGCAGAGCCGGGAAUAUUAGUCUGUGUGGGUUAUGAGGUAUCAAGGAUCUUGACAAACUCAGGAGAAAGUAAGUCAGUUUGCACAAGCUGGGGGCAGUCGGCUUGGCAACUCCGCACGAAAAUCUGUUAAUGCGUGAGGGGUGAAGACACGAAUCUGCAAGACGUGUGAGACGGGGACAGACCUGACCCAACCUCAGCCGCAGUCAAACAUGUUUGAAUUUUUUUGCUGAAUUUGGAUGCUAUUGUGUGGUGUUAACUGGUUACUUUAAACACGUGAUGCCAACAACCAGUGAGAAAGAGAGGGCGGGACACAGGAAACAGCAUGACAAUAGAUGACAGUGUAACCCCAAAUUUCCACUGCAUCCGGAACGGCUAUGAAGGCCAUAACCGCCGGUCGCAGCUGAUCGUAACCAUUAAAGUAAAUGUGUCAAUUUCCACCGGCUUCUUUCCGUUCAGCUGCCAAUCGCCGGACUCCGCAUGCUGAUCGCAAGUGUUCUAUUUUUUCUGGAUGCCGGAGCAUGCCGGAUUAAUUCAGCACAGAUUAGUCUGUGCUGGAAAGGAAGUCCGGCACAGACCCAAAAUAAAACAUCCGGCUUCUUUUCAAAAUAAAACACUGCAUGUUUCAAGCGGAUCGUAUUUCACACAAUGCAAACGGGCGGGGACAACUAAGUGAAAGGUUUUCAGACAGCAUUUCACCCCAAUGAUACCAUGGGUGAGGGGAUGCAAAUUUUAGAAGUCCAGAAGUGGAUUUCCUCCUAUUGAAGAACAAAAUCUACUGCUUUCAUGGUUAGCCUCUGUGGCUAAGAAACAACUCGUUAUCGCGCGGUUGCACGUGAAUUCACAGGUUUUUGUAAGUUCUUGCAAUAACCACUGUUAGGCCUGUCGCGAUAAUCAAUAAAUCGCCUUAUCGCUCGGUAAAUAAAAACGAGGUCGGUCAUUUUGCCAGCCUCGAUAAUUUACGUGCGUUUGUUUUCCUCCUCUCUCGCUACCAAACACGCUGGAUGAGAGAAGAGGUCUCACUCUGCGCAUUGUUCUCGGCACCUGGGGGCGUUGGCUCUAUAGCGGAAUGAACGCAGUGAGUGAACCCUCCUGUCAGUCAUUCAGUCUCUUUGUCACGAGGGGGCUGGCGCGCACAUGCACACAGACACAGACUUUUGGAUACAGUGCUGCAAGUGAGCGUCGUGAGUGAAAAGCAAGCUAACAGAAUGAACACGGCAGCUUUAGUGUCUAAACCGAACGCAACAGCCCAAAGUGUGGGAAUAUUUCGGCUUUAAACCAGUUUUGUUUUCGUCAACCACAAAACUCCACGUGUGCGCGCGCUCGCGCGUGUGUGUCUGUGUGUUGGAGGAGCACAGCAGGCUGAUGAGAGCUGUCAGAGCGGACUGAAGCUGCUCCUAUAUGUUUAGCGUUUAACUGACUGAGUUUUGCAACUCUGUUCGUCAUUUUCGUCUCGUCCCAUCAACGUAAACGCACUUUCGUCUCGUCACAUUUUAGUCAUCUCCUACUCAUGUUUAGCUGUCAUAUAAUAUCAUUAUCUAUAAUUUAAAAAACGGUGUCAAUAAUAUCGUUUAUUGGCAAUAAUUUGUAGCCCAAUUAUCGUCCAGCAAAAUUUGUUAUCGUGACAGGCCUAACCACUGUUGAUCCGCCACAAAAUUCGUCUCACAAACAGAUCCGGUAGGAAUUGACGUACGGCAAAAAUCGGAGUCGUUGCGGAUAUGGUGGAAAUCUCGGCUUAGAAUCGGCUCUUUAGUUGACUGCUCAAGGACAACCAGAGAAAUCUGACAGGAAGUAGCGGGAACAUGAAAUCAGUCUUCUUAAAGUUUUAUUGGUGGUUGGCAAACAGCAAAUGGAUGCAUAACCAGAUCAGAUCUGUGUUGAGACUAAGAGUGUUGUCAAAUCUGUCUCUUAGUUUCUAUGGAUACUUAACUUUAGGGGUGUCCCGAUACAACUUCUUAAUUUUCCAUACGAUACUGAUAUUGUAGCCUUCUGUAUUGGAUGAUACCGAUAUUGAUCUGAUAUUGGCACAAACUUGUGCGUGACAAGUUUUGCACUCAGCUGCAAAGUCUUUUUCGGACUUUAACGAAAAAUACCGCCAUGUGGCCGACAUCACUCCUACUUCUUGCUGCUUUGUUAGUACCUUAGUACACACUGUUGUUGUGAUUACGUGGGCUCUUCAUGCUAGAUCCAGGCGAUCCAGACGAACAUCUGACAUCAAUAUAGUAUCAGGACAUCCCUACUGAGGUUUCACUUUUUUCACUGAUUUCUGAUACUUAAUUGCCACUGUAGUAGGGUGACCAUAUUCUGACUUUCAAAAAGAGGACACGACUACGCAAAGGUGGAGUCACAGAGUCACACAAAGAUAAUUUUGAGUUUUUCGGGUCAGAUCGAGUGUCUUUUUCAUGCUUCUAACUCAGUAAGUCCACAUGACACACAUUUAAAACCGUGAACAUUUGAAGAAUUUUAUAGACUUCCUCAGACAAACCCGGACAGCCCCCCAAAAAACAGGACAUGUCCGGGUAAAAGAGGACGUAGGAUCACCCUUGACUGUAGUGUUUAGUUAUGUCUUUAAAACUUUUAUCUGUUGUUAAUUUAUCUUCUCAUUUUCUGUCUGUUCCCCUUCGUAAAAGUGGGCCCACUGAGCUACAAAUUGUGGAUGAUUUAACAACGAUGAAUAAUUGCGUUUUUCCUUAAACAGAAUCAGUUUUGUUUUCAUAUAUGGAGUUUAAAGUGAAUAAUGGAUUUCUUCGCUCCAUCUAUUCUCCAGACACUUCUUCCACACACACACACACACACACCCUUUUUCCAGCUCCCUAAAGUUCUUCACUUGCUCUACCAUAACAGUUUGGUAAUUAGGACCAACAGCUGCGAUUGCUGACACAACUAGUCAGCAUGUCACAGUCGAGCAGAUUCCUCACACUUCCUUUCACCCAUUCAUUUUACAGUCUGCUGCCGGCGCUCCCUUUUUUUUCUCUUCCUCCAAUCCCUUUUAACAUGACAAAUUGGGAUCAGAGAAUGAAUGCUAAAUGUUUUUGUUUUUCUCUGACUUCGCCAAAAGUAGGUCCCCUUUCAUCGCUUCAGUGGAGGGAAAAUUUCACGACAUACAUGAGGGGCUGUGUGAUGUGCCAAGACAACAACAGGUG
rnacentral:lncRNA from 1 species